GACGAACGCUGGCGGCGUGCUUAACACAUGCAAGUCGAGCGGUAAGGCCCUUUCGGGGGUACACGAGCGGCGAACGGGUGAGUAACACGUGGGUGACCUGCCCUCAGCUCUGGGAUAAGCCCGGGAAACUGGGUCUAAUACCGGAUAUGACUCCAUGACGCAUGUUGUGGGGUGGAAAGCCUUGUGCGGCUGAGGAUGGGCCCGCGGCCUAUCAGCUUGUUGGUGGGGUGAUGGCCACCAAGGCGACGACGGGUAGCCGGCCUGAGAGGGCGACCGGCCACACUGGGACUGAGAUACGGCCCACGACUCCUACGGGAGGCAGCAGUGGGGAAUCUUGCGCAAUGGGCGAAAGCCUGACGCAGCGACGCCGCGUGAGGGAUGACGGCCUCGGUGUAAC
rnacentral:rRNA from 1 species